UACGUAGGGUGCGAGCGUUAAUCGGAAUUACUGGGCGUAAAGCGUGCGCAGGCGGUUUUGUAAGCCAGAUGUGAAAUCCCCGGGCUUAACCUGGGAACUGCAUUUGGGACUGCAAGGCUUGAGUACGGCAGAGGGGGGUAGAAUUCCUGGUGUAGCGGUGAAAUGCGCAGAUAUCAGGAGGAACACCAAUGGCGAAGGCAGCUCGCUGGGACGGUACUGACGCUGAGACGCGAAAGCGUGGGGAGCAAACAGG
rnacentral:rRNA from 1 species